rnacentral:rRNA from 1 species
CAGCCGUAAACUAUGCGCGUUAGGUGUAUCGGUGACCACGAGUUACCGAGGUGCCGAAGGGAAACCGUGAAACGUGCCGCCUGGGAAGUACGGUCGCAAGGUUGAAACUUAAAGGAAUUGGCGGGGGAGCACCGCAACGGGUGGAGCCUGCGGUUUAAUUGGACUCAACGCCGGACAACUCACCGGGGACGACAGCAAUAUGUAGGCCAGGCUGAAGACCUUGCCUGAAUCGCUGAGAGGAGGUGCAUGGCGUAGACGUCU